GAUGAACGCUGGCGGCGUGCCUAACACAUGCAAGUCGAACGGAAAGGCCCUGCUUUUGUGGGGUGCUCGAGUGGCGAAGGCGUGAGUAACACGUGUGUAACCUGCCCUUGUCUUUGGGAUAACUUCACGAAACUGGGGCUAAUAUCGGAUAGGAGCUCCUGUAGCAUGGUGGGCGUUGGAAAGUUUCGGCUGUCGGGGAUGGACUAGCGGCUUAUCAGCUUGUUGGUGGGGUAGUGGCUGACCCAGGCUUUGACGGGUAGCCGGCCUGAGAGCGUGACCGGCGUCAAUGGGACUGCGAUAGGGCCCAGUCUCGAACGGUAGGCAGCGGUCGGGAGUCUUACACAGUGAGCGCGCGUGUGUGGCGGAGGCCUUGCGUUCGUGAUGCCGGCUUUCUGGUUGUGAACAGCUUUCGCCUGAGACGAAGCGUGAGUGACGGUACUGGGUAAAGAAGCACCGGCUAACUACGUG
rnacentral:rRNA from 1 species